AUCUGGAAAUGCUGUACUUGGAGAUAUUGGUGUUCAUAUACAACAACAGAUCAAAAAGUACUUCAAGGAAAUUGGGGUUACAACUGAUGUUAAAUACAUUGAUCCUACCUACAUGAUCCGUGCUUGCCGUGCAAAUGCAUCAGAUGGAAUUCUCUGUACUGUACUAGGUCAAAAUGCUGUUCAUGGUGCGUUUGCUGGAUA
rnacentral:misc_RNA from 1 species